ACAAGCGGUGGAGUAUGUGGUUAAUUCGAUGCAACGCGAAGAACCUUACCUGGUCUUGACAUCCCGGAGACCCUUAGGAAACUAGGGGGUGCUUCCAUCUGGAAGAAUCUGGAGACAGGUGCUGCAUGGCUGUCGUCAGCUCGUGUCGUGAGAUGUUGGGUUAAGUCCCGCAACGAGCGCAACCCUUGCCUUUAGUUGCCAGCAGUUCGGCUGGGCACUCUAAAGGGACUGCCGGUGUUAAACCGGAGGAAGGUGGGGAUGACGUCAAGUCCUCAUGGCCUUUAUGACCAGGGCUACACACGUACUACAAUGGCCGAUACAAAGGGCAGCGACACUGCGAGGUGAAGCCAAUCCCGUAAAAUCGGUCUCAGUCCGGAUUGGAGUCUGCAACUCGACUCCAUGAAGUUGGAAUCGCUAGUAAUCGCGGAUCAGCCAAGCCGCGGUGAAUACGUUCCCGGGCCUU
rnacentral:rRNA from 1 species